ensembl:snRNA U2 U2 spliceosomal RNA
CUUGCUUCUCGGCCUUUUGGCUAAGAUCAAGUGUAGUGUGUAGUUUCCUUGCACAGUCUGCAUUUUGGGUCAUCAGCUGAUUUUUCGAUCUUGGCUUUAAUUGCAUUUGUUCUGAUGGCUUGCUCCUGAGCUGCAAGGAUCAGGCCUUCU